rnacentral:rRNA from 1 species
GGAAAUAUGAAAAAAAAAAAAACAAGCACAAAAUAACAAGGAAUCACCGCUAUACCUUCUGCAUAAUGAAUUAACUAGAGACAAUUUCGCAAAGAAAACUAAAGCCAAAUCCCCGGAAACCAGACGAGCUACCCAAAAACAGCUAAAAGAGCACACCCGUCUAUGUAGCAAAAUAGUGGGAAGAUUUAUGGGUAGAGGUGACAAGCCUACUGAGCCUGGUGAUAGCUGGUUAUCCAAGAUAGAAUCUUAGUUCAACCUUACGUUUACCCACAGAACCACUCAAUCUUCCUGUAAACUUAAUUGUUAGUCUAAAGAGGGACAGUUCUUUAGACAUUAGGAAAAAAUCUUGUAGAGAGUAAAAAAUCCAACUCCCAUAGUUGGCCCAAAAGCAACCAUCAAUUAAGAAAGCAUUCAAGCUCAACAUCAAUUAAUUUAAAAAAAAAUUCCAAGCAUAUUACUGAACUCCUCACAUCACAUUGGAUUAAUCUAUUCUACCAUAGAACCAAUAACGCUAGUAUAAGUAACAUGAAUAUUUUCUCCACCACAUAAGUCUAAAUUAGACCGAAAAACUUCACUGAUGCUUAACAGCUCAAUAUUAAUAAAUGCAAACAAGCCAGUAUUAUUUAUACCAUUAAUUCGACACAGGCAUGCUUUUAAAGAAAGGUUAAAAAAAGUAAAAGGAACUUCACAAACUCAAACCCGCCUGUUUACCAAAAACAUCACCUCUAGCAUUACUAGUAUUAGAGGCACUGCCUGCCCAGUGACACAUGUUUAAUGGCCGCGGUACCCUGACCAUGCAAAGGUAGCAUAAUCACUUGUUCCUUAAAUAGGGACUUGCAUGAAUGGCACCACGAGGGUUCAACAGUCUUUUACUUUCAACCAGUGAAAUUGACCUGCCCGUGUAGAGGCGGACAUAAAAUAAUAAGACAAGAAGACCCUAUGGAGCUUUAAUUUAUUAAUGCAACCAAAAACCACAAUCUACAGACCCUUAAACUACUACACCUGCAUUAAAAAUUUUGAUUGAGGUGACUUCGGAGCAUAACUAAACCUCCAAAUAACCUAUGCUAAGACUACACAAGCCAAAGCGAGCCAACACCUAUAAUUGAUCCAAUAACUUGAGCAAUGGAACAAGUUACCCUAGGGAUAACAGUGCAAUCCUAUUCUAGAGUCUAUAUUGACAAUAGGGUUUAUGACCUCGAUGUUGGAUCAGGACAUCCUAAUGGUGCAGCAGCUAUCAAGUGUUCAUUUGUUCAAGGAUUAAAGUCCUACGUGAUCUGAGUUCAGACCGGAGAAAUCCAGGUCGGUUUCUAUCUAUUCUAUAUUUCUCCCU